ensembl:rRNA 5S_rRNA 5S ribosomal RNA
GUCUACUACCAUAUUACCCUGAAUGCACUCCUCAUCUGAUCUCAGAAGCUAAGCAGGGUCAGGUUUGGUUAGUACUUGGAAGGGAGGAAAUGACUGAAGAAUUUU